rnacentral:rRNA from 1 species
GAUUUCUGGCUUGGUGCGCCUGGCCCGCCACGGUUACGUGUGUGAGUGCCGGGUCGCGCCUGCCAUCCUUCUAGAGAACGUCUCUACCCUUCACUGGGCCGGGGGCGCUAUCUAGAUCCUUUACUUUGAAAAAAUUAGAGUGUUUAAAGCAGGCUAUUGCUAUGAAUACAUUAGCAUGGAAUAAUAAUUUAGGACUUUGGUUCUAUUUUGUUGGUUUCUAGGGCUGAAGUAAUGAUUGAUAGGGAUAGUUGGGGGUGCUAGUAUUCAGCGGCCAGAGGUGAAAUUCUUGGAUUCGCUGAAGACUAACUUAUGCGAAAGCAUU